GUAGGAGACAAGCGUUAUCCGGAUUUACUGGGCGUAAAGCGCGUGCAGGCGGCGCGGAAAGUUGGAUGUGAAAGCUCCCGGCUUAACUGGGAGAGGUCGUUCAAAACUACCGAGCUAGAGGAUGGGAGAGGGAAGUGGAAUUCCGGGUGUAGUGGUGAAAUGCGUAGAUAUCCGGAGGAACACCAGUGGCGAAAGCGGCUUCCUGGCCCAUCACUGACGCUCAGACGCGAAAGCUAGGGUAGCAAACGGGAUUAGAGACCCCGGUAGUCCUAGCCGUAAACGAUGUAGACUUGGCGUUGGCGGGUUUAAAUCCGUCGGUGCCGAAGCAAACGCGAUAAGUCUACCGCCUGGGGAGUACGGCCGCAAGGUUAAAACUCAAAGGAAUUGACGGGUCCCCGCACAAGCAGCGGAGCGUGUGGUUUAAUUCGUUGCUACACGAAGAACCUUACCUGGGCUUGACAUCCCCGGACCGGCAUAGAAAUAUGCCUUUCCCUUUCGGGGGACCGGGAGACAGGUGCUGCAUGGCUGUCGUCAGCUCGUGUCGUGAGAUGUUGGGUUAAGUCCGCUAACGAGCGCAACCCCUGCCGUGUGUUACAAGUGUCACACGGGACUGCCGGUCUUAAGCCGGAGGAAGGUGGGGAUGACGUCAAGUCAGCAUGGCCUUUAUAUCCUGGGCUACACACACGCUACAAUGGGUGGUACAACAGGUUGCGAAACCGCGAGGUGGAGCCAAUCCUCAAAGCCAUCCUCAGUUCAGAUUGUAGGCUGCAACUCGCCUGCAUGAAGAUGGAGUUGCUAGUAACCGCAGGUCAGCUAUACUGCGGUGAAUACGUUCCCGGGCCUU
rnacentral:rRNA from 1 species